rnacentral:rRNA from 1 species
GUCAACGGUCAUACCACGUUGUAAAGCACCAGUUCUCGUCCGAUCACUGAAGUUAAGCAACAUUGGG